rnacentral:rRNA from 1 species
CCUACGGGUGGCAGCAGUGAGGAAUAUUGGUCAAUGGACGAGAGUCUGAACCAGCCAAGUAGCGUGAAGGAUGACUGCCCUAUGGGUUGUAAACUUCUUUUAUAAAGGAAUAAAACGAGGCACGUGUGCCUUUUUGCAUGUACUUUAUGAAUAAGGAUCGGCUAACUCCGUGCCAGCAGCCGCGGUAAUACGGAGGAUCCGAGCGUUAUCCGGAUUUAUUGGGUUUAAAGGGAGCGUAGAUGGGUUGUUAAGUCAGUUGUGAAAGUUUGCGGCUCAACCGUAAAAUUGCAAUUGAUACUGGGAGUCUUGAGUACAGUUGAGGUAGGCGGAAUUCGGGGUGUAGUGGUGAAAUGCUUAGAUAUCACGAAGAACACCGAUUGCGAAGGCAGAUUACUAAACUGUGACUGACAUUGAUGCUCGAAAGUGUGGGUAUCAAACAGGAUUAGAUACCCUAGUAGUC